UACGAUCGCUAUAUCUUUUCUUUUUCUUUCUCUCUCCUCUAUAGAAAGAGGGGAUUAUACGUGGCAUGGUAUACCUGAUCGUUUGGUCAACGAGACGUACGUAAGUCGGCAUAGCUCCAUUUAGAAUAUAAAAUUUUUUUCUUUUACUUAGCCCGCCUCUCCCAUGACUUUCCGGACCAACCUGGAUCUGCCCCCAAUCCGCAUUUUGGGAGCAGAGCAUGCAAAAUCGAGCAAUGAAUCUUAUAAAAAUUUCCUCGG
rnacentral:lncRNA from 1 species